AACGGCCAUAUUAUGCUGAAUAUGCCGGUUCUCGUUAGAUCACCGAAGUCAAGCAUCAUUGGGCGCUGUCAGUACUUGGGUGAGUGACCAUAUGGGAACACCGCGUGCCGUU